rnacentral:miRNA from 1 species
UGGGGUGACCAACUGUCCCAGUUUGUCCCAGACUAAGGGGUUUCCUGAAAUGCAGAACUUUUAUUGCUAAGGCAUGGACAGGCCCAGGCAAAGUGAGACAGCUGGUCACCCUAGAGGGAC